GAUGAACGCUAGCUACAGGCUUAACACAUGCAAGUCGAGGGGAAACGAUAGAGAAAGCUUGCUUUUUCUAGGCGUCGACCGGCGCACGGGUGAGUAACGCGUAUCCAACCUGCCCAUCACUUGGGGAUAACCUUGCGAAAGUAAGACUAAUACACAAUGACGUCUCUAGAAGACGUCUGUAAGAGAUUAAAGAUUUAUCGGUGAUGGAUGGGGAUGUGUCUGAUUAGCUUGUUGGCGGGGUAACGGCCCACCAAGGCGACGAUACGUAGGGGUUCUGAGAGGAAGGUCCCCCACAUUGGAACUGAGACACGGUCCAAACUCCUACGGGAGGCAGCAGUGAGGAAUAUUGGUCAAUGGACGAGAGUCUGAACCAGCCAAGUAGCGUGCAGGAUGACGGCCCUAUGGGUUGUAAACUGCUUUUAUAAGGGAAUAAGGUGAGUCUCGUGAGACUUUUUGCAUGUACCUUAUGAAUAAGGACCGGCUAAUUCCGUGCCAGCCGCCGCAGUAACAC
rnacentral:rRNA from 1 species